CCUUCGAUAGCUCAGUUGGAAGAGCGUGAGACUGUAAUGGAUAACCUAGAACAUCUCAAGGUCACUGGUUCGAUCCCGGUUCGAAGGA